GUCACGGAGCAGCAGCACCCUGCCCAGAGGAGCAGGUUGGCUCCCAAGGCUCCCCUGUUCUCUGGAAGGGCACGUUCCCAAACCCCGGAGCUGCUGGUGCUGGCAGCAGCCCCGCUGGGAGAAGGUGACACACGCUCCCCAGCCCUCCCUGUCACCCCAGGGAAGGGCUGGGUCUGCCCUGCCUUCCCGCCGUCCACAGCUCGGGGUUUUGAGUCUCUGAUCUCAGCUGGAGCACCCCCGGGCAGAGCAGCACCUCUGGAGGGACUGGUUCCUGCCGAGCCCCGGCUGCAAACCCCUCGGGAAGGGGGUCCCAGCCUGGGGGCUCAGCAUGGCCCUGGAGCCGGCCAGGGCUGGGGGAAGGAGGAGCAGAGCAGGAACCGGCCGGACUCGUUACACCGGUGACACUCGGGAAGGGUGACUGUGAGUGGCACGCUAACCAUCGUGUCCAGUCUGUAAGGAAUGCACCCAGGAUCCGCCAGGGGAGCAGUCCCGGGAAACGCCUCUGCCCUGGCUGUCAGUCAUUCCCCUGAGCACCUCGGGAUGCCAGCGGAGGAUUUCAAUCAAAUUUGUCAGAGCCAUCGUGUUUCCACAAGCUGGAAUGUGUGUCCGGGCCCGGGGAUCCGCCCAGCCCCAGGAGCAGCCUUCACACCCGGGACGAGGAGGAGGAGGAGGGCAGCCAGGGAGAAACACUGGCACGCUGCAAGGAAAAGCUCACUGGAGAGAUGAAAGGGGAUGGAAACGCCGUGCUGGGUCUAGCGAGCCGCCUGCACGGAGCUGGUGCCACCCCGGGCAGCGGGCCAGGCUGGAGGCAGCAGGGCUGCAGCAAGAUGCUUCUUGCAUGCCGGAGUCAAGACAAAUUCCUGCCGUUUCAGUGAGCUUGGAGCACGGCCAGGUGUCCUUCCAAGAGAAAAAGCUGCAGCUGCAGAAGCCGCAGGCAGCCCCAGGAACGCUCUGCCAGGCUGGGUGGUUUUGGAUGCUCCUGCAGCCUGGAGCAGGCACAGCCCUGUGCAGAGGGGCUGUGGGCACCUGCAGCACCGUGCCACGGUGCCACCAUCCCUGCUCCCAGCACCAGCUACGAGCUGGGCACUGCCCAGGCCACGGGGCUGAACGUGGGGACUGCAUUUACAGCCCUGAAGGAGCAGCCACCCCUGUCCCCAGA